UGAGGGAAACCCCGAUCUCAGUUGUAGGAAACAGUUCACCCUGAGUAGGCCUUUUGUAGAAGACAGGACCUUGAUUUCAGUCUCUGCACAUGCUGGCAGGGAACAAAUAAUCACAGCGUUUUGUCCUGUUAUCAGCAGUAUUAGGGAAGUCCACAGCUCACCAGCAUUUUAGCUGAUUUCUGUUUUUCAGAGACAGGGUAAGUUAUUUUCCCCCAAACUUCCUCAGAGAUGUCUUCGGCUGCCAAGAAGCCAUCAUGGCCAUACAACUGCAGCUGGAGAGACAACAUUUCCAGACAUUUCUCUUAAGCCGCUUCAAACUCAACAUAUAAAAACAUAAUCAAAAUCAGUAGCUACUUCUGAACUUCAUUGCCUCCUUUAGGAUGUGCUUACAUUCCAAAGAAAGAAUGAAACACAAAGAUGGAGCAAGGUAAAUAAGCUGCUUAAAAACAAAUCCUGUGGAGCUAUUUUACCUGCUUUUUCAGCACAGAAGGUGAAACGAGGAAGCAGACAGCUCAGGUCCUGAAAGCCAAGAAGUGAUGGCAGCCAACACUGUUUGCCUGAUAGAGAAGAAAGCAGCGCACUGAUUUUUCCCAUGCGACAUCACAGAGCGGUGUCUUCAUCCCACUGGUAGUUUGAAUCCUGGUGUAAGUUGCUCCACAGUUGCUACGAGCUCAAAACCAGCCGAUCCUCUUUAUAUACUGCUGUGUGUAAGCAAUAUCGACAUGCCUGGAGCACAACAGGAUAGAAGGGAAAGUCUUGCUCUGGUCUGCUAACACAUAAGUUAGUGGCAGUAAUGCUCAGAAAUUCAAAUGCUUGUGGAACAUCUCUUUGCAGAGUUGGUAACUUCACAGAAUCCCAGAAUGGCUGGGGUUGGAAGGAAUCUCUGGAGGUCAACCAGUCCAACCCACCGGCUAAAGCAGGUUCACCAGAGCAGAUCACACAGGAAGGUGUCCAGGUGGUUUGAAUGUCUCCAGAGAAGGAGACUCCACAUCCUCUCUGGGCAGCCUGGUCCAGGCUCUGGCACCUCAAAGGAAAGAAGUUUCUCCUCAUAUUCAGAUGGAACCUCCUGUGCUUCAGUCUGUGCCCGUUGCCCCUCAUCCUAUCAUUUGGCACCACUGAACAGAGUCUGGUCCAUCCUCUUGACACUCACCCUGGAGAUAUUUAUAAACAUUGAUGAGAUCCCCUCUCAGCUUCUCUUCUCCAGCUGAACAGCCCCAGCUCUCUCAGUCUCUCCUCAUAAGAAAGAUGCUCCAGACCCCUCAGCAUCUUCGUAGCCACUGGACUCCCUCCAGUAAUUCCUCAUCCUUCUUAAUCUGGGGAGCCCAGAACUGAACACAGGACUCCAGAUGCGGCCUCACCAGGGCAAAGCUGAGCGGGAGGAACAACCUCCCUCGAUCCGCUGUCACACUCCUCCUAAUGCACCCCAGGUACCACUGGCCUCUUGGCCACAAAGGCACAUUGUUGAUUCAUGGUCAACCUGUUGUCCACCAGAACUCCCAGGUCCUUCUCUACUUGGGUGUAGUCUUGGUAGACAGGGAACAUCUGGUUACAGAGCAACAACUAUUGUCUCGUGCCACUGUUGCACACACCACUACUACUCAAAAUCAGAGCUUUACAUCUUUCUUUGCCCUUUCAUGGUCUGCAUCCAGGAUAUUUGCACAUACAGACAGGUUCUUUCCAGUAGGACCUUGCCUGUCUAUGACGUGUCACAAAUAGCUGUCAUAUCUGUCAUAUGAAAUACAUCAAUAGUAAUAUAGCAUUUCCUUUUUCUCCUCCAGGGAAAGUCAUGUUUCCAUCCACAUUUUUUUACCAACUCACCUCCUGUUUUUUUCCUAUUAUUCACAUGGAGCUAGUGCUGGUACAUGUUGCAAGAAGGGGUGGCUAGAUUUGAUGUUGUGAAUCUAAUGUGAAUUUAGUGUGAAUCUAAUGUGAUCUAAUGUGAUCUACUGUGAUACUUAAUUUGGCUUUGCUGAUUCCUUAGCUGUCAUGUAAUUGCUCUGCAGCUGCUAAAUUUUGGAGCUUUGCUUUUCUUUGAUCUGUAAGUGCCAAGGUUUGAAACCUUCAAAGCUUUAACCAACAUAUACAGGAUAAAUGCUCCAAAGUACUCACUAGUAAAUGUGUGCAGCCUUUUCCCAAGCUUGUAUUUCCUUAUUCCUUCCAUCCUCCGUGCUUCAAGAAGUACUUUUUUUCCUCCUUCUGGAAAAAAGUGGACACUGGUGAGAGCAGGGGAUUAAAACCUACAAAGAAAAUAGCUGCAGAGAGAGAAGGAAGGGAGAUAAAAACAACUCCUGCUUACCUUUGUGUGUGAAACCCAUCAGUCUUUCAGUUUGGAGUAAUUAACACUGGUUUGCCAUCUCUGGUAUUGCCUUACUACUGGGUUUUCAUGUUUUACUUAACCCUGUUGAGAAACAGUCCGUGUUACAUUUAUGUAUCAUGUUUGUAUUUAUUCACCCAAAAGAUCAGCAAUGAAGGCAAAGAACUGAAAUUGAUAAUUGAAAGUGUUUCCUAAUUAAAUUAGGAAAUUAUUAAAUGGUUUGAGUGAUGUUAAAUGAUUUAAGUAGCCUGUCUAACUGUAAAUAGAAAAGCCUUGCUGCAAGAUUUUCUUUCACUCAUAUUUUCCUCAAUAUCGUAUACAAAAUAUAGUAGCAUUGAAAUCUUAGCAUUGUUUCAAUGAUUUCAUAAGGAGAUCCAGGUUUACAGUUGUAGCAUAUGAGACACAUAUUUUUAUACGUUAGCAUUUUAUUCUGUAAGGGGCAGAGUGCAACACUUUUUGAACUCUGCUGGGCACAGGUUCAAGGGAUUCAGUAGUGGUGGAGAUCUAGUACAAUCAUUAGAGGGCAUAUCCUGAUGCCUUUAUGCACUUGAAUAAAUCCCGCUAUGAAUUCUAUAGUGUUGUUCUUGUUUUCAAAGUCAUCAGGGCAAUUGCUUGUAAAAUUCAAUACCUGCUGUGGUGGGUUUGACCUGGGCCAGUUGUCAGACCCCCACCCCUUGUUGUCAGACUCGCUCACUCCCCCUCCUCAACAUGAUCGGGGGGUGGAAAUAAGAUUAAAAAGCUCACAGGUCAAGAUGAAGACAGAGAGAUCACUUAGCAAUACUGUCAUGGGCAGAACAGACUCAACUUGGAGAAAACUAAUUUGAUGUAUUGUCAAUUAAAAAUGUAGCAGGAUGGUAAGAAACUAAGAUAAAACUUUAAAACAACUUUUCCUCUCUCCCCGCUAUUUCCCAGGUUUAACUUAAUUCUUCCAUUCCCAAUUCUUCUACCUUCCUGCUCCCCAUCCAGCACAGGGGAUGGGGAGCAGGGGUUGUGGUAGGUCCAUAACACUUCAUCCUUGCUGUUCCUUCCUCCUCAUGCUCUUCCUCUGCUCCAGUGUGGUGUCCCUCCCACAGGAUACAGUCCUUCACAAACUUCUCCAGUGUGGGUCCUUCUCAUGGGCUGUCAUUGUUCAAGAACUGCUCCAGCGUGGGUUGUUUUCAUGGAGUGCAGUCCUGCAGACUGUUCAAGUGCAGGUCCGCCAUGGACAAGUCCUGCCAGAAUACCUGCUCCUGCAUGGGUUUCUCUCCACAGGGCCACAGCUCCUGCCAGGAGUCUGCUCUGGCAUGAGUUCUCCAUGGGCUGCAGGUAGAUCUCUGCUCCAGCUGGGUCCUCCAUGGGCCAGAGUGGGACAACCUGCCUCACCAUGGUCUUCUCCACAGGCUGCAGGGGAAUCUCUGCUCCGACACCUGGAGCACCUCUUCCCCCUCCUUCUUCACUGACCUUGGUGUCUUCAGCAUUUUUUCUCUCACAUUUUUCUCACUCCUUUUAUUGGAAAGCUGGUUGGAGUUGGCUCUGUCUGAUGCAGUGGUAGCCCUUGGCCUCUUCUCACUGAGAACACCCCUGGACAUGGACACCUGAUACACUUGCUUUUAUAAAAUGUAGAAUUGGAGGUCUCUAGCCCAAUCCCCUGCUCAAAGCAGGUGUAACAUGCAAAUGAGAUUAAGUUAUCCAGGAAUGGGCAUUUCACCACCUCUCUUUGUCAAUUAAAGGAAGAAAAUCUGGAUGGGUAAAUGAUUGCAAGAGUGGAGAUUAGAGCCUAGUUUGCAAUUCGGACUUAGCCAUUACUGGGGGUGGCUGGAUGCCAUGAAAUCAGUACUGUGUUUGAUGACAAAUCAGUAUUGGCAUCCACACAGUUUGCAGUGGCAAGUGUUCACGUAACAGCAGUAACAGCAGUCAUCGUCACAGCCACCAUUAAGUGCUUCCACUCUGCCUUGGGGCAGAAUAUGCAAUGAGGGUAAGGAAAGAUGGAGAGUGAAUGUCCCCUAAGGCAAAGACUAUGAGUUUAUACUGCAUUUAAGCCAACUCUGGAUCCUGAUGGGUUUAGGUAUCACUGGAGAACAAGGACUAAUGACUUCUGUAGGAGUCAUUUUGAGCUCCAUCGCCAAAGGUAAGGGUCACGCAGUCUGUAGAGAAAAACAUGUGUAACUGAAAAAACGGACAACCCGACCCUGUUUUUUUGACAGAAACCUUGAAUGUUCCCCCAAUGCAAAUCAGAAAAUAUCUUGUAAUGUGACAAAAGGAAAUAAUGAUUCAUUGGGUAUUUCAAUCAAGCUUUUGAGUGGCGCUACAGAAUGAAAGCAACAUUAGCAAAUGUUAAGCUCUGAAAUCAGAGGAUACCUAUAAACCUUCUUUUUCGGGAUAGUUCAGGGUGACCGUUAUUGCGAUGCGAAUAGUGUCAUCCUAAGGAGUGAGGACAGACGGCUGGCUGAGACCAAGCACUUCCUGGCAUGGGAAACAGGAUGAAUAGGUGAAGGAGAAGACCUGGGCUAGAAAACUCAUGGGGAAACCAUGAAGAGCUGGGCUUGCUCUUUCUGCCUGGAACAGAAUGGGAAAGUAGGAGUCAGUAGCUGUGGUUUAUGUGCUGGCAACCUCUGAAUCCUCUUCUCACCUUCUCCCUGUUCCUUGCUGGCAGCUGGAGGGGUAAGCACAGCUUUUCAGAGCUCUGCCAUGGACUGCAGAAGUAUCCAUGGGUGUUUUGUUAUCAGAGACCAUGUGUUUGGAGCUGGAUUUGCUGUCUGAAAUGAGACCUGUAGUGAAUGAUAAUAAUGGCAAAACAUUGCUUUAUGAUAUGAGUGAGAUGCAGUUAGAAUUAAUACAAAAGCAAAGCUGCUAAUUCGGCAUAUUUAUGCAAUCACUUGUCUGGAGGAUGUAGCUCUUAUAUUUAAGUUCUGAUAUAUAUUUUAACUUAGCAGAACUGAACACCAUCUGUACACAGAGAAUAAAACCAAAACAAGCCCGUGAUGCUUGGCUGUUGGUUCUGAAAGCUCUUUGGAGAAAAUACUGUGUCAUAGGUCUGUAGCAUCAAUGGUGUUUCAAGCCCCCCUGGGGUAUUCAGAUAUUACGAAAAUAAAUCGGAGCACAACAAUAUUAGUCCUGGGGACUCAAUACUUGGCUCAGUGCUGAAUUACAGAUUCUGCUUAGUACCAAAGCUUUUGUGCUGUUAAUGUUUAAGGUUUGCUUUUUGGCUGAGCCGAAAAACAAAAGGCUUUGCUGUUGUUAUUUCACAAGAUUUAGACAGGUUCAGAUCACUUGGAAACUCAGUUUGAGGGUUGCUUUCUCCCAAACAAAAUUUACUGCCUUUUUAAAGAUGUUAAUUUUGAAAUAAAUGCAGUAUUUAUCACAUAUUGUUAAGAUACACUGCAGCACCACGCCCUGCAGCACUUUUCUCAGCACUGCUUUAUUAACAGCUUCUUUGAUUCCUUCCCAGUUAACUCAGAUCAGUCUUAUUGCAGUAAUUCUAAAGAUUCCAUAUUAAGAUUCAGGUUUUGCUCCACAUCAAGAGACUAAAAGUUUCUGCACAGGACGUAAAUGAAUUACUUUCUUUGCUUUGAAAUCUUUAUCAUAAUUACAUGAUUUGCAGGGGUAAUCACGCAUGUCAUUAUGACGAAGUGAUCAUAUCUUGUUCAAGUCAGUCAGCGCUCUACUGGUGCUGCAAUAUAUUGGCAGCAAAUUGCUGUAGGAAAGCUUCCAUGAAAAAUCUUGUUAAAUCCAGGGAAAAACCCAAGGAAAUAUGAAUCAAAUAACAGACUUGGCAGGAAAAUCUGUUCAUAGAUUCAUUCAUUAACUCCACUAGCAUGGAGUUAAACACACAAUGCUGCUUUCCUUUCUUAUAACAAUAGCCAAGGAAAAAUAGGAAAGAUACAAGAAAUUGUGUUGAACCAACAUUUACUAGAAGCGCAUGCUCUGGUCAUUAAAGACACAUGGAUUCUAUCAUCGUAUGAUCAACUUUUUGACCUAUAAGCAGCUUGCACUGCCUGAAGAAAGGCCUGAAAGGGAAUGCCUCAUGUGGUUGUGCCAAACUACCCAUUCCUGGCAUGCUUUAAAAAUUACCUCUCUUUUGCUGCAAUAUGGGACAGUGUGGAAUGAUUUAGUUCACCAUUUAUAUUAAUCUCACUCUCAGCCAUGUUUGGGGAAAGGGCCACAAUGCAAUCUGCUCAAAGAUGUAAAGCAGCUUUCUUUAAAAGCAGUGGCAGAACUUUAACAAAGAAAUACCAGAAAGCAAUGAGUUGUUGUUGCCGUGCAGUUAUCUGCAUGCCUUGGAUCAGUGCCCUGCUCUGUAGGAUUAAAGAGAAGAAAAGCAGUUCAUAGUUAUGUGCUUAAGUAUUUUCAAGUUCCUUACACUGAUGUAUACAAGAUGUUAUUACCACACUGGGAGAAAUGGCUCCUACCCUGAGGCACUUACGGUCUAAGGUUGCAAUGCAAUAAAGAGUUGUGUGGGCUUGAUCCUGAGGAAGAAAUUGAGGGCUGAAAGCUUAAUUUUAGAAAGGAUGCAGCAAGUGAACUUGUCAAUACAUAACACGUGGAUGAGAACAAAAGUUUUUUAAGCCUUUGGUCUGCAUAACCUGAAAACUCCAAAAUUCUGUCUCUUUUAGCCAGGACUUUAAAAUAAACACUGGCCUCUGUGAAAGAGCUAAUAAAUUUGUUUCCAGCCCUAGCUUGGGUUGUAUCUAUUUUUAGUUUUUAAUACAAAUGUACUUAAUACAAGCUCUGAAAAUACUCUGUAUUUUUAUAUUACAUAAUUUACCCUCAGGACGUUAACAGUUUUGGUGACAAUAUUAAAGAAGCUAUAAGCAGUGUUUUCUGAGUCACUGCUUCUCUUGACGCUUUCUCAGCUCACAUGACAAACUAUUUUUCCGGUCUAAAACUCAAUAAUUGCCUUUGCAUUCACAAUAACUCUGGGUAAGUUACAAAACUCUCGUUUUGGACAACCACCAUGAGGACUCUUGUAACAUAUUACAGAAGUACUUGCCAGCUGACACUGUGUGUGCUCUGCAAACACAGAAAACCAAGAGCCACCUUCAGAAAGAUCAUCUUAUGCUGAGAAGGCCAGAGUUGUCAUCAACAGUUUGCACUUUCUGACACUUGCAGUUAAUCUUUGUGGAUCAUGAACCUACUUUUAUAAUUUUCAGUCUUUGCCAUUUUGUCAGGUUACGUUACUUCACCAAAUUCAAAUGUUGUAUUUUGGCGGCUUUCUCCACUAGAAGAUUUGAGGUAAAUCAACUCUGUAAAAUUCUCCAAACACCAAAAAAAGAUCAAUUGAAAUAAGGAAAGACAGCAUUAGAUUCAGCUGUACCAGAAAAACAAAACAAAACAAACAAAACUAAACCAAACCAACCAACCAACCAAACCAAAAACCACCUAAAUGGCUCUAAAAAUUAUUUCUUAAAAUAACUUUGAUGAAUAAUUCGCAUUUGGAGAUGAAGUAUUCUCUCUGCUUUUCAACUAACUGGACACCCUCCAGAAAACGGAAAGGAGGGAUAAUCAAGAAGUAUAAAAAACAAGACAGUGGGGACACGCUGUCAAUUAAGUUUUCCAACCCCAAAUUUGGCAAAUCGUUUUUUUUUUUUUUAAUAUUAGGAAAAGUGCAACACAGAAAACAAGCACAGGCUAUUGAGUGGUGUUUGUACUGCUGCGAGUUUUCUUUAUAGAGCCAGCUGUGCAGAAUCCCCCUUGGCCGUGUGGCAGCACAGCAUAACCGCUUUCAUGAUCGAAGUUGCCUCAUGAUGUCCUCAUGCAAAUCAGGGAUUUUGAAGCAGUAAACGGGAGUUACUUAUUUACGAGAAGUUAUGUUCUGUCCAGUUUCAGUCAUACGUGAUACAGCAACAUGUGCCUAAUUGGUAUAUUUGACGUGUCGGGCAACAUCUAAAUGUACUUCUUUUAUAGCGAUACAGAAAUACACCUAAAAUACAUUAUAUAUUUAGCCAUGCAAAUGGUUGAACUUUGUUCACUGUCUGCUGCACUUUUAGAUCUCCAAGGCCCCUUGGAUGCAAAUAAGACAAUAUAGGCCUAAUUAAUUAUAGACUAAAAGACAAAUGUUGUUUAGAAGGGACCUUUGGUGGUCUUUAGUCCAACCCUUUGCUCAAAGCAGUGAUAACUUUAAAGUUAGAUCUGGCUGCCCCGCUUCUUAUGCAGCCAAAUUUCAAAAAUUUCUGAAGAACAAGAUUAUGCUGUCUCUGAACCAGCAGUUUUCAACCAACUUGUGGUCCACCUAUCUAGUCCGUAUCUUCCUAGUUUGCCUACAAGGAUGGGAGUCUGUGUUGCACCUUGUGAGAAGGUAAAUGACAUCUGUUUCAACCCACUCCUCCACAGGGUCGGCACGCAGGUCAGUAAGGCGAUUGCCCUCGGUGAACCUAUGCGCACCACUUCCAGGCACCUUCUGUCCCUUCUGUGCUUAGAAAUGAUUUUCUUGAGCUCUUGGCUCCACAAUGUUGCACUGCCUGCUAGAGAACGAGAAGCAUCAGCAUGAACUGCUGUCAAGUUAGAAUGGCCUCACAUUAUACAUAACUAUACUGUCCCGUGUCUAUGGUUUCUUUUCUUUUUGUGUUUACAUUAGGCUGCUAUAAAGGAUACUCGCCGUAUGCUGCUCUUCUUGAUGCAUUUUUUAUCUGGGGGUAAACCAAGGUCGCUUGGAAGGUAAACAUUUUAUACGGAAAAUACAACUGCUUGGUAUUCUGGUUGGAUCCAAAGCUGAAUUAAUCUUCUUCAACAGCCUUGUAAUGUGAAUAUUUAAAAAUGAACAAUCUUAUCAUAUUUAAACAGUUCCCAAGCUUAGAGAAGAUUGGGGUUUAUAUAACUAAGUUAAUUUUAUUUAUAUAUGCUGUUUUUUUUCAUACAGUGAGUGAUAUAAGGGCAGCUACAAAAAGAUCAAGAGGGAAAGUGUUUGGCUUUUAAUAUGUUUCACUAAGCUAACAUUAAAUACUGGUGAAGUUUACCAUAUCGUACUUUUGUUGAGCUAUGAACUGCUGAUAGGUCUUUUCCAACACAGUGGAGCAUCUCAAGAGAUUCUUCAGAUUCCAGUGGCAAAACCAAGUUUACUUUAUUAUUAAAAAAAAGGCAGUUCAUAGUUGUGAACUAUUACAUCUGUGUUUAUGUACUUUAAAGUUUCUUACAUUGACAUGUACAAUAAAUUAUUACACAAAAACUGUUUGACCUGAAAUUUUGUUUUUUGUAUCUGACUAUCUUUGCUCACUAAUUGACCUUUCCUCUCUCGUCUCACCACUUCAGUAAUUCUGAAUCUGCACCACUUGCCAGCACUGCAAUAAAAAGAAAUAUGGUACGAAGUCUUGAUGCUACUAUAAAAGCAGCUGCAAAAUCUCUUUGGCUGCCUGAGAGUGUGCCAGAUGGAAGUAUAAUAAAUGUCAUAUCAAGCAAGUCAGAUUUGAGGGACUUGUUAUGCAUCCCGCAUAUCUAAAUGCUAAAACUGAGCCUCGAGUGACUAGAUUCAGGAAUAAGCUCUUCUGUAGCCUCAGGAAUAUCUCACAAUAUCUACAAUGCAAAGUGUUUCUAAUAUUCAGAGCACUCACAUUGGUCUGGUUCUUUGCCAAGACCUGACAGCUUAAUGUUGGUACAUUUCUCUAGAUGCAGGGGCUGUGAUAAAGUUCAGCUUCUUUUUUUUUUGCCCCUCCCAGGACUUUCAACAGACUUUUUUUUCUUCAGAAAAAUAGAACUACAGCCUAUCAGAAAUAUAAAGACUAUGAGGAAUAAGUGUUGCAUUAACACCCAAAGCUAUUUCCUUGGGCCUCAGUUAUCCCAUCACAAAACAAUUAUUAGAGUUAAAUUGAAAGGUCAUUGACUGUACAACUGGCUGAGGAUUUUCCUCCUGUGGAGACAACAAAUCCCAUCUGGUGAUAGGUUGUAAGAACUGGUCCUUUGCUACUGUUUUUCUGUAAUGUUAGUGAAAUAUGUCUAUGUUCAGUCUCUGAGAUUCACAAAAUAACCAGUUUUAAGUGUUCUAAAAAUAAUUUUUAUCUCAGAAAAGAACUUAAUUUACAAAUAAAGGCCUAUCAAAAAUUAUUACAAAAUUUGGAAAUCCAAGUUGGGAUGGAAACUGAUAUAACUCAUGGUAUAGAUGUCCUCUGACAACAAAACAAUAGACUAAAGUAUUUCAACUAUAUUUAUGUAUUAUUAAAGGCAUACAUGCUAAAUUACAGUCAAUGUUGCAAAAAAAAUGGUCUUCUGUUAUACCACAAACGAUGGCAGCACAAACCAGACAAGCCAAGUAAAAAAGAAAGAAGAUGCAAAUGGAACCGUUAAUAGAUGCAAAGAUCCAUGAA